rnacentral:rRNA from 1 species
AGUGAACGCUGGCGGUAGGCCUAACACAUGCAAGUCGAACGGCAGCACAGUAAGAGCUUGCUCUUACGGGUGGCGAGUGGCGGACGGGUGAGGAAUACAUCGGAAUCUACUUUUUCGUGGGGGAUAACGUAGGGAAACUUACGCUAAUACCGCAUACGACCUACGGGUGAAAGCAGGGGAUCUUCGGACCUUGCGCGAUUGAAUGAGCCGAUGUCAGAUUAGCUAGUUGGCGGGGUAAAGGCCCACCAAGGCGACGAUCCGUAGCUGGUCUGAGAGGAUGAUCAGCCACACUGGAACUGAGACACGGUCCAGACUCCUACGGGAGGCAGCAGUGGGGAAUAUUGGACAAUGGGCGCAAGCCUGACCCAGCCACGCCGCGUGGGUGAAGAAGGCCUUCGGGUCGUAAAGCCCUUUUGUUAGGAAAGAAAAGCAGCAGAUGAAUACCCCGCUGUUCUGACGGUACCCAAAGAAUAAGCACCGGCUAACUUCGUG